rnacentral:piRNA from 1 species
UAAGAUUGCGUGUCAAAUCCUCAUGUGU